rnacentral:lncRNA from 1 species
CUCAUCUCCAAGCCCUGGUCCACAAGGAGAGAUCGAGCAUGAGCUGAAGAGAUGUGUGUGCUUCCACUCCCCCUAGCACCAUAAAUUAUAUGGGUGGAAAACAGAAAUUCCUGUCAGCAUGUGUGCAUCUGCUGCUGAAAUCUGCCAACAACAUCACAUGGCAUUCAACAUGUCUUGCAGAGCAGUGGAUCCCUGAGACCUUUCCCAGAAGCUCUUUUUUGGUGAAGGAUGGUGAAGGCACUUCUAAGAGAAGCCUGCUGGGGAUCUCAGAAGCAUGGAAUGAUCAGAGGAAGCCCUCAGCCCUGCAGUGGGUGUGGGUAUUUCAUUUCCCACAUCCCUUCUUGUCCCAUCAACAGAGAAGAGGAGGGUUCACUUGCAGGAAGGGCUCCCUGCUGCGUGGUCUGUGCACCAGGACUAUCCCAUGAAACCAAGGCACAGAGGGAUGACAUGACUUGUCCAAGAUAAUUUAUCAAGCUGGUAGAAAAGACAGAAAAAAGUCUAUUUUCUCCUGCAUCCCGGUUAGAUGGAGCUGGAUGCUUAAAUCCCAUGUUACAUCCUAUUUCCAAUGUAGUUGUAACAUAAAGGAAGAAAGACAGAGUUCUGAAGAGUCAGCAUGAAUUAUACUCCCCCAUCCAAGAUCAGAUUUACUUUGGUACCUCUCUAGCUGUCAGCGUCUGGAUUUGAAGCCUUCUCUUGUGUCCCUUCACAAAAGAAGCCCAAAGGAACGCCUUUUGCACACCUCCUGGUGCAGCCAAAGAGUUAAAUCACUCCCCAUCACUGAGUGGGAUCUAGAAACAACUUUUCCUACUGCAUCCGCAGCUGCCAACAGAACUCAGUGACAGCUUUAUAAAUCACAC